GGCCGGUUAGCUCAGUGGGUUGAGCGCAGUGCUGACAACAAUAACAACACUGAGGUCGCGGGUUCAAUUCCCGCUCGGUCC
rfam:Apaloderma vittatum contig90047, whole genome shotgun sequence.